AUGAAAACAUCAGAUUCAUCAGAAUUCGAGACGCAGAGAAAUGCUGCGGGUCAAAUGAAUGAACAUUUGAACUUGGACGAUGAGCCGAGUUUGCAAAGAAGUCCUCGGGAACAACUUUCUGUAAAAUCUGCAUCCAGAGUUGAUAAUGAUGAUGAUGAUGAUGAUGGAUUUUAUGGAAAUAGGCAGAGCUUAGUAUCCAGACAGAAGAAGGAAGCCACAGCGAGGCAGCUUUAUAACCUGAGGCCUGCUUGGGAUAAUAAUAAAGGAUUCAAUAAGAAAAUCACUCAACGGGCAGAACUUCGACCCCCAGAGGGAGAAAGUGAAAAACUGGGCUUGCGUCAAAAUACAAUCAAACAUGGAAGUGAGAAAACACCAGCAAACGUCCUAAAACUAGACCUUGCUGAGGAAGGAGCAGACGGCCUCAUCAGUGUAUUCCUUCCAGACACACAGAUGGAAACACAAACAGAUCCAGCAUCUGCAGGAGCACUCACACCGAGCACAGAUACAGGAAGGGAGGCAGCAAAGGAGCCGAGCGGACGCCGACCCGUGGUGCGUUUCCAAGAAAUAAAAUACAUUUUAUUAGAAAUGAAUGUGAUUGAAAAUACUCGGGUUACAGAUAUAAAAUCAGACAAAAGUUCCACUCAAACAGUGGAAGACGUCAAAACAACAACUGAGAACACAGAGGCAAACAGUGCAGCACAUGGAAAUAUAAGGAUAAAUCACAUUAAGGAGGAAAAAGAAUCUGUAAUACCUGCGCCUCCCUUAGUCAAACUGUUCAAACCACAAACGGUGAAAGGAGAUCAGGCAGCUGCACUAAACAUGGACAGAAAAGAGCCCACGUCACGUACGGACGCCUUCAAUCAAAGCAGCAAAUGGAAAGCUGAGGGACCGCCAGGAACAGAGGAGACCUCCACCAGCACACCGAGUCCAGAGCCCGGGACCGACGCGGAGCCCAGAUGUGUCAAAUGCAAAACGAGGACGGCCGCGUCCACGGCCGGAAAGUCUCUGGCCGGCCUCAGGAUGAGAGAAGACGUCCUGGAGCAUUUAAUGAAGCUGCACAGAAGCGCAGCGGAGGACGCAGACGCAGCGCAGCCGACAAACAGGCCCGGAAAUGGCAGAAGAGAAGACGAUCCAGGAGGGAACUCAUUAAAAUGUUCCAAGCCCUCAGAACCGGGCCACGGACGAGCUGCGGCCUCGGAUGAGCCGGCGUGCAGGGGUCUGAUCCACCGCACGGCAGCCGGGUGGAAACACUGCGAGGAGAGGCUCAGGGCAGCGACCGCAGGGCAGCGAGGGAGGCCGUCCACGGGGGCCCCCGAGGGCCCCCGGCCCUCAGGGGCCGAGCAGGAGCGCGUCCAUUACUCCGACGGCCGACUGAGGCGCGUCCAAAGCCAUUUCUACCCCCGUCCUGGAAGGCGGAGCAGCGCCGGACAGCGGGGCGCCCCAGGAAACCUCCUCAGUUACGUCCAGCGCCUCGUCUCCGAGAACAAACCAUCAGGAAGAUGA
rnacentral:lncRNA from 1 species